GUGAGCGUAGCUCAAUUGGUUAGAGCUUCGGUUUGUGGUACCGAAGGUUGUGGGUUCAAGUCCCAUCGCUCACCCCA
rnacentral:tRNA from 1 species